CCUACGGGAUGCAGCAGUGAGGAAUAUUGGUCAAUGGACGCAAGUCUGAACCAGCCAUGCCGCGUGCAGGAAGACGGCUCUAUGAGUUGUAAACUGCUUUUGUACGAGGGUAAACGCCGAUACGCGUAUCUGUCUGAAAGUAUCGUACGAAUAAGGAUCGGCUAACUCCGUGCCAGCAGCCGCGGUAAUACGGAGGAUUCAAGCGUUAUCCGGAUUUAUUGGGUUUAAAGGGUGCGAAGGCGGGGUGCUAAGUCAGCGGGAAAAAUGCGGUGCUCAACGCCGUCUAGCCGUUGAAACUGGCGUUCUUGAGUAGGCGAGAGGUAUGCGGAAUGCGUGGUGUAGCGGUGAAAUGCUUAGAUAUCACGCAGAACUCCGAUUGCGAAGGCAGCAUACCGGCCCCCUACUGACGCUGAGGCACGAAAGCGUGGGUAUCGAACAGGAUUAGAUACCCGAGUAGUC
rnacentral:rRNA from 1 species